GAAUAUUUCGAGCAAGUCCUUCGGAUAACUAAAACGUAUAAACAAGGUAAGGGAGAGAGAUUAUAUAGAUUUUGUAAAUAUAAAUUUAUAUAAAUAUAGGCCAUAAUACGAAAGAACUAAAAUUUUUUUUUUACUGUUCUAUCCAGUCUUCAUUCCAAAUAGCUCGAUGAUUUCACAAAUUCUAAAACGAUAUAGAAAUUACGGAAAACUCACGUGUGUGUGUCUCUUUCGAUAAGACAAAAUAGCUGGAAGAGAACCCCACCACCCCUGGACAACGUGGCACAUCCCGUGUUACUGCACAUUCUCCUCAGAAUUCCCAGUUGGAAAAUUUAAACCGUUUUUAUACCAGAACCAAAGUACACCCAUACCUCGCUUUGCGUCGGGGUUACGUUCAAAAAAAAAAAAAAAACAAUGGUUGCCUGUAAAGUCGGUUUUACGGGCGAAGAUUUUACGUGACAACGGUAGAAUAUUUAUUGAUAUGAAUAUAAUUAAAUUGCACAAUAGGAACAAGGAAUUGAAUGAAAUAAGAAUUGCACAAAUUUUAACUAUAGAAAUAUAUUUUGUUUACUAAAACAUUGUACAUGUAAACUUAAACUUAACUAAUUCCUAUUUGAGUGAUUUUGUUGAGGAUAGGACGAUGAUAGGAGAAAUAUGAAAUGAAAGGAAGUGUUUCUGCUGUAAUGUGUCUUGCGAAAGUCAAGUCGAUAGUUGUUCCUUUUAACGUAGUUGACUUAGAAACGUUUGAUACGCAAUCAAGAUUAUACGUAUUUUUCAUGAAAUUAAGAAACGAGUUGUCAGGCUUUACGUUUUUGUUAAAAUCACCACACAGAAGAAUCGGUAUACUAGAAUCAACUUGCACGAACGGUGGCACGUACUGGCUGUUGUGAAUGUACGGACCGAGUCCUUGCCAUAGUAACAUUCCAAUAUCCUGCAUACUAGCUCCUGGAUGAAUAUAUACAGCACCGAGUAUAAACUUGAAGCUAGUAUUAGCGGCGAAGCAAGUAACUUCAGUCAUGCACAUGUCACCCUUGGUUUUAAUGACACGAGUUACGUCUGUAAUCGCAACUUGGAACACUUCCGCCGUAGAUGUCGAUGAUAAUUUACGAUAGAUCGCCACUCCACCAGCCGCGUUGGUAUUUGAAAAUCAAAACACUUAUUCAGAUCGAAGGUUCAAAUUUUUGCUAAAUAAAUUUGAAAUUAAAUAAAAUUUGUAAUUGUAAAUGAUGAAGUUGUAAAUUAAAACAUUUACUUAAAUGAGAUGUUAAAAUUCUUGCUCAACACAGUUUAAAUAAAGUUUUCUUAUAUCUGCCACUUUUUCUUAAUAUUUGUAAUUUUAAAGAAUCAAUUCGAAAUUCAAAACAUUUAUUCAGAUCGAAGGUUCAAAUUUUUGCUAAAUAAAUUUGAAACUAUUUAAAAUUUGUAAGAUAAUAAUUAAUUAAUUAAUUUUAAACUAAUAAUUUACUUAACACUAUCAACAUUUAUCAAUAGUAUGACAUAACCUAUAAACUCAGUUUCUCAACUUUUGUGUCAAUCUAACAAUUAAUCAAUCAAUCAUAGUUUACGAUAAUGAAAUAUCAGUGUACAAUUAUUUACCUUUAUUGUUGUAGUUGUUGUAAAUGACGAAUCUAAGCACUCCACAUUUUCACUACAGACACAGCUGACGAUACUUUAACCACACGUGUGAACUUGUAUUAUGACGCUUUCUUGUUUUUCCAACGCCAAGAACGUUCGAGAAAGACAAAGACAGAGACAAGCAUGCGCCGAUUCAAUGCGCCUAAUUCUCUAGCGCUGCGCGCGCAGCACUCUCGUUCGAUGACUCAUCGUAACGUUACCGGGCGUUACACUUUUUCAUAAGUGACUCCCAGCCGCAACCUAAUUUAAGACGUUGUCACGUCAAAAAAACACGACGUAAAUUGAAACGACGCAAAGUGAAAAUAUGUGAAGGCGCAAUCAAAAACAAAGGUGUUGCCAUAUUUUAGGAAAAAAAAAUCAGAAAAAAAAUUAAAGACUCGAAUCCAAAACAACGCAACUUCGAAAAUCUAACGACGCACAGUGAAAAUCAGUAAAAAUUAAGCAGCGACGCAACUUCGAAAAAAACGCAAAACGAAACGACGCAAAGCGAGGUAUUGGUGUACACUCAUGGACAAAACUUAAGGAAGUUGUACAUUUCAGCAUGUAUAUCGAGAUUCAGACAAUAAGUCUUAAAGAUAUUACAGUGACCUUUAUUGAAGACACACCAGAUAACCAAGUGUGAACAAAAUUUCCUCUGUCUCCUUAAAAAAAAGACGAAUAUCGAAGACUUUCCACUUCCAUAAGUUUGGUCUCAAUGAAUGUAAAAAGAUAUAGGAUAGAGCAUAAUUUCUGGCAAACCAUUUCAGACAAAUCAGGCCUGCCGGCCUAUGUUCGAGGUAAGCACAGCAGAACAUCUCUGAAAUCUAGACGUUAAAACUUAUUGAUGGGAACACGGUAAAGUUAGUUAGGAAUUGUUUGAAUGCACUGUAGGUCAUCUUGGUCUGACGGCGUUUAUUGAGGCCUGAAGUCAUGGAAGAAUGGUAUAACAUGGUUCUUUGGACAGAAAACUUUUAUUUUCUCGACCUUUCGACAAAAAUCGUUUGUCUUCGUCGGGAAAAAUAAAACAUUUAUCAAGGCGUUAUAAAUGAUUCUGAGGUUCUUUUUUUUCUGACCGAAAUGUCUUUUAUUUUUAAGAGAAAUUCAAAAUACGAAACUAUUAUAGACGCGUAUGAUUCUUUUUAAAAUAAAACAAUUUCUACUGUCCUUACUGCAAUGGAAAAAUUAUCAUACGCGUCUAAAAUAGUUUCGUAUUUUGAUAACAGAUGGCGCGCUAAUGCUUCAUAAGAAAUAUGAAUGUCUACCAGGCAUCUUCUAACUCAAGAUGGUUCUCUGGAGUAUUUGAUGGGAUCAUGGCAAUGGUCGGUCAGUAUCUAGAGACGUCUUCCUUUUCUUUGGUGCGGACUUUUGACAUUGUCUUUGUUCGAUGGACAUUAGGGAGAAAUCCAUCCCCUUCCUCUGUGUUUCACGGAAUGAAACAUUGUGGUAGAGUGUAUGCGAAUUUACUUUCUUUCCUCGUCAUAUGAAACUUCAUAUCUUCAAAUAGAAUCUCCCUAACCCUCUCAAUUCUCAUCAAGAGUACAGAUAUAUAAACAGUGGAGAUUAUGCACUUUGCAUGUAUUGACAAGAUGUCAAUAAAAUUAUUUUAUUUGUCUAUUCUCACCAAAAUAUGCUAUCUUGUAUAUUAUCCUCUUUCACUUCGACUUUACUAAGAGAAAGUCACAUUCAAAUAAUUAAAAAGGAAGAUGUAAUUUGUAAAUUCUGAAAAACUGAAAGCAUAGAAGAAAUGACCCACUACAUCUCUGAAUGCACUAUUGUUAACGAGGAACGGAAUAAGAUCUUAAAGAAAAUUAUCCAAGUCUACGUGAACCCAGUUCAGCUAAACAGAAUAAUGUCCGAGAAAAAAUAUAUAGCGAUAGAAUUAUUUAAUUUUCAUAAAGCGUUAGAGAACAAGGUAAUCUCUGAGAACUAAAAUUACAAUUUCCUUCAAUAGUUAAUUUGUAUAGUUAUGUUGAAUACUUUGAUUUCCUUUUCAUUUUCCCUUCUCUCUUUUGUUUAUGUUUUUUUCCCUUUCUCCAUGAAAAUGAUGUAUGGCGAGUCCUUACAGGACGGAAAUGUCCUAAUAAAGCAGUUGUUGUUGUCUUAUCCUCUUCAAAUAAGCCCUGGCAGUGUGUGUGUGGAACUUACAUUUGCCCCAAGGUCGAAGUUUUCGUUGGUUUAACAUACAAGAUAGGAGAAACGAUAUCGUAGCCAAUGAGAAACUUCCGAGGCACGAUUAUUGCUGGUUGAAAACUUUACCCAAUACAUGAUAGGAGACCUAUCUGGGCGGGAUAUCACCUGACCCGCGGGCGGGGCGAUCGCUGAUUGGCCAAGUCAGUAAUGACGUCACCAUGUUGUCUCUACCCGCCAUGUUUGAUUGACUUAUCUGGGUUGGUGGAAUAUGAAGUGAUACUGAAAGCCACCAAUGAUCAAUCGAGUUAAGUGUAAAGGCUAAAUAUAUUUCAAAUAUGAUUUGUAUAAUUUUAUAAACGAAAAUUUUUGCCAUUAUUAUUUUCAAUUAAACAUGAUAGAAAAAUACAUGCAUGGACAAAACUUAAGGAAGUUGUAGCAUGUAUAUCAGGAUUCAGACAAUAACAAUGACUCUGAAAGAUAUUACAGUGACCUUUAUUGAAGACACACGAGAUAACCAAGUGUGAACAACCUCUGUCUCCUUAAAAAUAAAAAAAAUUAAAAAUAGAUAACCGGCGACAUCAACAUAUGAAACUUUUUAAAGUUUUGUCCCUGAGUGUAUAUAUAUUAUUAUAUAUUUUAAUAGAAUUAUUAAUUUGAUUAUUGAAACCGUUUUACCUAUUUUGUCCACGCUUUUGUGAUAAAGUUAUUAAAGCUAUAUGUCGUUCUUGAUUUUAUUGCGGGAAAUUUCUCGAAUGAUAUCGUUUUAUUCUCUAUACAUUUCUCUUUCUCAUACUGGUGUUUGAUUGUGUUUCAGAGGUGUCAUUUCUCCAGCACAGCAGUCGCAAUAUCCACUAGAGAUGCAUGGGGACAUCUGAGGUUCUUCAUUGGACACGACAACAACAUUUCCCCAGCCCAGGACUUUGAUUAGGGAUAAGGUAGAAAAGUGGUCUCUUUACUUUGUUGAAAGUGAGAUUCAACUUUUCUAGCUCAUUACCUAUCAAAUAUACGUCGAUCUCAGAACACUCGGUAACUACCUCUCUCUAUCUUGUCUGUUGGCUCAUCUCUGUGUGGCUGUGGUUGUUGUACCGGCUUUAUAAUCAACUUUGUUGGAAGUGAGAUUCAACUUUUCUAGCUCAUUACCUAUCAAAUAUACGUCGAUCUCAGAACACUCGGUAACUACCUCUCUAUCUUGUCUGUUGGCUCAUCUCUGUAUGGCUGUUGUUGUUGUACUGGCUUUACAAUCUUUGUUGAAAGUGAGAUUCAACUUUUCUAGCUCAUUACCUAUCAAAUAUACGUCGAUCUCAGAACACUCGGUAACUACCUCUCUCUAUCUUGUCUGUUGGCUCAUCUCUGUAUGGCUGUUGUUGUUGUACCGGCUUUACAAUCUAACUUUGUUGUUAUGUCAUCCAUAGACUUUAACCCCCAAUGUUUGUGUUGCUGUGCCUUCCUUAAAGACACUUUCUGCUAUUCCCUCUCUCUAUAUACCGAGCCAUUUUUGCUACCAACAGAUAACCUCACAAACCAACAAAAAUAACAAGAUAACCAUCGGCCCUCGUUGUGGAUAAAAUAACAAACGGCCCCUCGAUAAAGAUAAAAUAGCAAAUAGCAAAGUUCUCCCAUCUCCCACACUUCUGAACGAAACAACAAUACAUAAGAAUAAUUAAAAGAAAUUUGAAGAUAAAGAAACCACAUCGUAAAGAUAGAGGCUACCUGGCCAGCAUUCAUAUUUCUUCAAAUAAAAGACUUUUCGACCAGUAAAUCUUUUUAUUGUCUCGGCGUUUCGACAAAAAUAUUUUGUCCUCGUCAGGAGCGAACAAAAAUUAAAACAUUUGGCAAAGCGUUAGUGUUUUAAUUUUUAUUCGCUCCUGACGAGGACAAAAGAUUUUUGUCGAAACGUCGAGACAAUAAAAAGAUUUACUGGCCGAAGUAUAUUUUAUUUGAAGCUAAAGAAACCACAGUUAUUGAAAUAAAUGCAGUACGUCUUCAAAACCAAAUAUGAAUCCUCUCUAAAAACAAGAACAUUAAGCCUCCAGGGAAAAGUUUAUUUUAAAGAAACUUAAACUCUCUUCCCUGAAGACUUGUUUUGGUAUUGAUUCAAGGGAUUGUUUUAUCGAAAUGAAUCUAUUGAAUAAAAUAUCCUGAGUUCGAUUCUCAAAUGUUCCCUUUUUUACUUUGCGUUUUACUGUCCGUUGGGGUAUCACUUUCAUUAUUAAUUGGCAUCCAUGUGGUACUGGCUGCGGGACACAGUAAAGAACCACGACACAGAUUACAAAGUUAAAUACAAGUUUAUUGGCAUCCAUACAUCAGUGCGGUCUCACGCCUUGAUCUUCUGUUCCCACUGCUCCACCAGGAUGCUCCGUCUGCGCUGGCCGGUCUGCGUACGCCACAGAGCACUUAGCGCAUGUGCAAUAUGUGUGUCUCUUGGUUCAUGGCAAACUGGGGUAUGUGAAUUAUGGACAUGUCAAUAUGUGAUUGAGUUCAAUCCAUUAUAAAUAUAGGAAUUGUGAAUAUAAAGCGAACUUUGCUCUAAAAGUCAAUGUAUAAAUGAUAUGCUCUUAUGCAAAUGAAUAUGCCAAUACGUUAAUGUGCAAAUUUUACUUUACAUAUGAAUUUGCAUAUAUAUGUAAAAUUUAUAUAUGAGAAUAUGUAUUUGAGUGCACAAGGAGCUAUGCAACCAUGAACCUAAGUUGGUAUAUUCUCACGUGUUAACAGCAGGCUGGGUUUGAUUAGCGUUUAUUGUUUCAAAAAACGUCCAAGUGUGAAGAACGCCACGUGCCGGCCUCACCUACCGCCCAGCCAUGACCCAGGGACUUAUCAUUCAAUUCCCAUCAUCAGGAGAAACAAUGGCGGCGGAAUUAUCCACAGAUAUCCUCGUACAGACAAUGUGCCCCCGUCAUUAGCUCCUGAUUGCAUACAAGGAGGAUUUAUGUUUCUUCACCCAUGUACCUACACGUUACCACAACUCCUAUGUGGCAUCCAUGGUACAAAACAUGGUCAAGUAGCAAAUGUUAGCGCUUGUCUUCAAGGAAACAUCGCCAACAGCCUUUCUAUUCUUGUUAUUCCAAUGUCCAGACUAUUUAAAUGAAAUAGACGUUAUUUUUAAAAUGUCUAUAACAAAACUGGAAAGCCAGAAUGAAGGACCCGUCAAUGUAGCACACGGAAAAUCUAAUAUAAUAUUCAAAUAUGAAGACAGUAAGAGCAAUUCUUGCCAACUGUGCCUCGGGAGCCGAACCUAUCAGAAAAAAAAAAAAAAAAAAGAUUCCUCUCACACAAUGUCACGUGGCGAGAAGAUAGAUUUUCAAAACACAACAUCAAUGAUAAUAAAAAUAAAGAAGGCAUCUCCUGACCACGAGCACAUGUGCUUUUUAGAUGGCAGAGCGCCAUUUAGUGGAGCAAAAACAAACUAAAUGUUUAUUUAACUUGCUCCAAUAAAUAAACGUUUAGUUUAUUUUUGCUCCACUAAAUGGCGCUCUGCCAUCUAAAAAGCACAUGUGCUCGUGGUCAGGAGAUGCCUUCUUUAUUUUUAAUAUCAACACCUGACCCACUUAUCUUUUAUUUUUUUUCUAUUGUUUUUUCAUCAAUGAUAAUGUGAAAUGUUAUCUAGGAGACAGCACAUGACAGGUUUUUUUGGCGGAAAAACACUUAAAAAUUUAUAAAAUACCCCGAACAUUCCAUAUGGCUUCUAACUCUUAUCAUUCUUGAACGGCGUAAGUGUCUAUUAUAGAGGGUAUUGCACCCCAGGGGAAUGUCUCAGAGCCGGUACCUCGACGUAGACGCCCUCGGAGCACAGGUUGGGGAUGGAGGUGGAGCGUUCCAGCCGCCGAGGGAAGGACUCGAGGACUCCGUCUUCCUCGUCCUGGAGAGCCGCCAGCAGGUUGGGCUGGGACAUACGCAGCCGCUGUUCCCUGCGCCCACAGUCAGACAUAGUUCAGCAGUCGUCAAGAAAUAAACUUGUAUAAGCAACAAUGACACCAGGAAAGUUGGGUAAUGUGAGAGACUGAGCAUACUUGCGGCGGCAGUAACGUGUCAAUAUCCUGGCAACUGGGCUGAGAGAUUCCAAGAGAUAACUACAAAGAGGUUUAUGAUGUUGAAGACAUUUUAUGCUUAUAUCUGAAAAUGGACACAAUUUUCCCUCCAAGUUAAUAAAUCAAUAUGUUCCGUUUUUACCAAAGUCCCAGAAUUUCCCUAGUUUUAAUAAACGUUGAUUCGAGUUAGCACUAUGUACUACGUAUGUAGGAAGCCGUUUUCUAUCCAAACAUUUCAGCAAAUGUUGAAAAUACAAAUGAACGGAGAGUUUACAUGUUCAAAACAUUACAUGGCGAACAGCACAAAUUGGCCUAGAACGUUGAAUCAAUCUCGAGUUAUCUAUUUGACUGGUCACAAGGAGAGAAUGCUCGAGGAGACAACAGAAUAAUAUGAAAUUACUUGCACUCUAAUGUAUUUAGCUUCAUUUAGAGAUACCAUAUGUAUGUUUAAGUUCAAGUUAUGUUAUGUUUGAGUUGUCAUUACCUAACUUAAGUCCCACUUUAAGGCUAUAACCAUAUAUUUAGAUAUUGUUUUGAAAAUAGAGCAAUCCAUAGAUAAAUCUUUAAUUAAAAAGGCAUAUAUUGGAUCAAAAUAUCAUUUAUUUUAAUAGUUGAUUAGUUUGUUGUUGACACACUUUAAAAUGUUAUAACACCUUGAUAAAGGUUGGCGUUCAGCCAACUGAAAUAUUAGUAAAAUAAAUGAUAUUUUGAUCGAAUAUAUGCCUUUUUAAUUAAAUAUUUAGAUAUGAAAAGUGUUUUUGGAAGGUAUGGACUUUCAACUCAGCGUCGUGGUGAAGAGAGAUGAGAGUGCCAGAUGGGCCACCCCUGAGUGCAGUGGGAAUGUAACCGACCCUUGCAGUCCCGACUAUGCAAAUAUGUCCACAGUCCAGAACGGCUGAUUAUGGCUGCUGAUAGUUAGCGCGGGAAGUAGGCUAAGCAGUCCAACAAUGGCCAAUUUCUAGACGGCGAUAAUGGCGCCACCAGUUCUGUGCUAAUGACGUCGCUUUGUUUGCCAGCGCCAAGUGGACUGAAUGCACAGGGAACCUGGCGUAGCUUUAAUGGUCCGGGUAAACUUUGGGGAUAUUCCUUCCGUAGCGGGGCUCCUGUGGACUGAGUCCAUCUCAGUACGCGGGAUCCUUCCGUGGCGGGGCUCCUGUGGACUGAGUACACCGCGGGAUCCUUCCGUGGCGCGGCUCCUGUGGACUGAGUACACCGCGGGAUCCUUCCGUGGCGGGGCUUCUGUGGACUGAGUACACCGCGGGAUCCUUCAGUGGCGGGGCUUCUGUGGACUGAGUACACCGCGGGACCCUUCAGUGGCGGGACUCCUGUGGACUGAGUACAUCGCGGGAUCCUUCCGUGGCGGGGCUCCUGUGGACUGAGUACACCGCGGGAUCCUUCCGUGGCGGGGCUCCUGUGGACUGAGUACACCGCGGGAUCCUUCCGUGGCGGGGCUCCUGUGGACUGAGUAUACCGCGGGAUCCUUCCGUGGCGGGGCUCCUGUGAACUGAGUCCACCGAGCUCUUUUUUUUUUUUUUAAGGAGACAGAGGUCAUUUUUUUUUCAAACUUGGUUAUCUCGUGUGUCUUCAAUAAAGGCCACUGUAAUAUCUUUCAGAGUUAUUGUCUGAAUCCCGAUAUACAUGGUAAAAGGUACAACUUCCUUAAGUUUUGUCCAUGAGUGUAUCUUUCAGAGUUAUUGUCUGGACCCCGAUAUACAUGCUGAAAGAUACAACAACUGCCUUAAAUGUUGUCCAUGAGUGUAAAUAUAUACAUAGAGAGAAGAAGGCCUAAAAUAACUAUUUCUGAAGAAUAGAAAAACUUAAAAAAAUAUCAACAGUGGAGCUUCCAAACUUCUGUUAACUGGAAAAGGCGACAAAUAUUUACUUCUAGCGACGUCAGAACUGAUUAGGGACGUGCAGUGACGAACGAAGCUGCUGGGGUAAGACCGGCUAAGUGAGAAACACAAGGGAGAGAAAUAUUAAAA